rnacentral:rRNA from 1 species
CAGUAGCCGCGGUAAUACGGAGGGUGCAAGCGUUGUCCGGAUUUAUUGGGUUUAAGGGGUGCGUAGGCGGCCUAAUAAGUCAGUGGUGAAAGCCUCCAGCUUAACUGGAGAACUGCCAUUGAUACUGUUAGGCUUGAGUAUACUUGAGGUAGGCGGAAUUGACAGUGUAGCGGUGAAAUGCAUAGAUAUUGUCAAGAACACCAAUUGCGAAGGCAGCUUACUAAAUUAUAACUGACGCUGAGGCACGAAAGUGUGGGUAUCAAACAGGAUUAGAUACCCCCGUAGUCCCUGUCUCUUAUAA